GGGUGGCUUACACCUGUCCAUACAGGUGAGGCUCCAGAAUAAUGCUAGACACAUGAUGACAACAAUUGUUAGCAACGGUGAGAUGUCCAAUGAUGUCCCAGCUGCUCCAUCGCCUCUCUCUGUUAGAUAUUUACUAAAAAAUGUAAAAUAGACAAGCCUACUUUGCUUGAAACAUUGAAUACUCCUCUCAGGUUCAGUGUCUUUGCUGAUCAGUUCCCUAAGAUUAACCCAGAAUCUUCAUCUUGCCAAGGUAAACUCAUUCAGCCUUUAAAAGGAAGGAAGAGAAGCAUUCGGAUCCUACUAUAGAUGCUGAAACUGUAAUGUGCAGUGAUCAUUGCCCAGCAACCUUUGUCCAGUUGCUAUUUUAAGACUAAUUACUGUACUGUGAUCUUACAAGGUGCUGGGCAAAUCUAUAUUUCAGCUGGCAUUUAAUUUCUUAGGCCCAUGCAUGCUAUAGUUGAUACUCAUGUGUCUGAUUUUAUGUAAAUAGACACAGGAAGGCCUGCAUUUAAAAAAAAACAAAACCCAAACUAUAAUAAUACAGAAGGGACCUGCACAGAGCCAUGACAUUCUGAAUCAACCAACAUUUACAAAAUAUUUAUGGCAGGAACUAUAUACAUAGAAGCAUGUACAGCUAGAAGCCCAAUUUAAAGAUGCCAGUUGUUUCCAGUAUAUAAACAUUUGGUGUGUGAAAUAUUUAACUGUGAUUUUUUUUAAUCAAGGAAUUUUUAAUUGUAAAACAAAAUUCUAACUGAAUUUCAGUUAGAUAUCUGUAGGCUUCUAAUGUAUCCCUACAUGAUUGUAGAUGUCAGUUUAACAGUCAUCUAAAUUAUCCCCAAGGUCCCUUCUGAAAUUUGGAAUUUUGCGUUACAGAGAUUAAAGCACGAGACUUUACCCAGCACUUCCUGUUUUGGUCAUUCAUCUGGGGAUGCUGGCUCUUUAUUUUCUACAAGCUGCUCCUGUACCGCUGAAUGGCAAAAUGCCCAUCAGAGUUUUCCCAGGGAUCGAUGAACGAAGAGUUACAGAGAGUGGCAG
rnacentral:lncRNA from 1 species